AAAAGAAUAAAAAUCUAAACUUUGUUUAUUCCCAUGUUCUAUCUCCCUAUUUCCUCUCCCGAGAUCAAAAGGUUGAUAAAAUAUGUAUUUUAUGGGUGAUCAAAUCCAUUAAAUAAUUAAAAAAAGAAUAAAAAAAAUAACCAAAUAUGAUAAGAAAAAUUAAUCGAAAUUACUCCAAAACAAUAGUACUCUUGUUCUUGGCUUUAACCCCGGAAAGAGGGUGUUUAGCUGAUAAUAUUAUGAAAAUUGAAUACAUGAUAUGAAAAAUUAAAGACUAAAUAAAAAAUUAAAAACCCAAUAGAAAGAAGCAGUCCCGAAUUGGGUAGACGUGUCCAAUAAUUGUAAUUAAUUGUCAAAGAAUUUCCUCCAAAGCUGUCCAUGUGUUGUUUUAUAUCCAAAGUGUCCAAGUUGUAACCAAAAUGAUCCAAAUUAAUCCAAGUACGUACAACUAUCCCCAACAUUCUCAUUUUUUUUUGUGGGAUUAAAUAAACUAUUAUGUGAUCCAAGAAAUUAUUCCCACACAAGAUUCUCUAUUGGCCAAUCACGUGCAACAUCACAUUCGUACACACCGAAUUAAUGGAAUUGUAUUCUGCCGUGGAACAAAGCAUGCGUCGCACGCUGUAGUGCUUCAAAAUGGAUCAUGCGAUGCAUGCAUACCGCACAACUGUACUGGAAUUUCACUCUUAAAAUUUCUCUAAGUCAAGGGAUCCCUAAAAUGGAGGGUGCGACACACCCAUUGAAAAUUGCGUCCAAACUUUUGGUUAAGUCUUUAUCGUUUUAUCCUUUACUCAUGCCUUUUGUAGUGUAUUUUUAAUGAAUUUUCGACCUUUAAAUCAUUAAUUUAUCACUUUAUUCAGAUCACGACACUUUAUUUAGAUCACGAAACCUCCUACAAUAUCACACACCAUAUAUUAAUGAUAAAAACAAUACAAUAUUCUCAACGAUGAAUCAAAACGCAAGCUAAGAUAAGGUACAUUUGCAAUGAGCUUCCACUUAUUAUUCUGACUCUUGACUUAAUCAAAUUAAACUUUGCAUAUUACAAACAAGUUUUUCCACUCAUAAUUACACAUUUAAAUUAUUUGGAACAAAUUAAACACAUUAGAAUCCGACGAAGCCAACUAGACACACACGUAGCUCAAGCUAGUAAAACUAGUUUUCCGGGUUGAACUCCAAAUGACUCAAUUAAGCACAAAAGUUGUUUGAAAAAUACUUUGGACAUUGCAAAUACAAACUUGGAAACUUAAAUGCUUAUUUAUAUUAAUAUUAAUACAUAAAGCAGAUGAAUUGCUCUUAAAACAAGGCGAAAUAAAAUACAAUAAUGACACUAAAGUGUAUAAAAUUACUUAGUUGGCUACUAGCCUCAUUCACUAGAGUGCAAGACUUAGCUUUGUUACCUUGAAGUUCAUUUAGAGCAUGUCCACUCAAGGGAUCUUGAAGAUUUGGUAGAUCGGGAAAGGUGGAUUUUGGAGAGCUUAGAUGAUCUAUCAUAUUGUCCAUCUUCCUUGAAAGAGAGCCUUCCAUCCCUUCCAUUCUACUUUCAAGAGAUCCCAUUCGGCUAUUCAUAUCGUGUUUCAUGCUCAUUAAGGCUGCCAUUAAAUCUGCUAUAGUUAUCUCUCCUAAAACACCUUAGUUAUUUUCUUCCGGUGCCAUUGUUCCCAUCAAAAGAAAUACCAAACAAAAACAAAGCAACUAAUAAGUUAAUAUUAGGAAAAUAACCUCGCAAGCUCUCAUCGUUUACACCUUUGAAUGUCUCUCUAUUAGCGUUGCAAGUGUUGAUAUACCGUUUGCACACCAAUGAUAUUACUCGGUACCAAUUGUGGCAUGAGGUCAGAGUAGGUUCUUGUUUGAGGACUUAAUUAAAAAAAAAUUACAUAUGGACUUGAAUCAAGAAGCUAAAACAAAUUGAACGAGAAAAGCUCACAAAGAAUGAAGACACGAAAGAAACAAACUCAAAAAGACUAAUUCACAACUAAGUAGGUGAUUAAUAGUUGUUAAUUAGCAUUAGAAUCAAUAAAACAUCCCAAAGAAUCAAAGAAAAGAAACUUAGAACCUAAAUUUGAGCUUACGGUGAUUUGUUUGGAUUGAUGACAUGGCUGCCUCAAGAAUGCUGAUUGGUGUUAAUUAAUGUUUUGGAAAUUUCUUGUCUCCAAUUUGUAUUCAAUCAAUCUUUAACUAGGAGGAGUGAUAAUCGGUUUUUGGAUGGGAAAAUACAAAUAAAUUGGACCUUUCUAUUGUUCUUUCAAGCUCAAAAGAGUUUAAAUUUGUUGUGGUCUCCCCUUGUACUCUCCCUUGUCUCUUUCUUGAGAAUAUUCCCUUUUUAUGCUUUUUAUUCUUUCUUCCUAUGGAAGGCUUGGAAUAUCCUUGAAAUAUUCUUUGAGACAAACAAGUACCAUACCUUCUUUAUCCUC
rnacentral:lncRNA from 1 species